rnacentral:lncRNA from 1 species
UGGGUUGGUAGAAAGUGGUCCACUGGCACCACGUUGCUACUUGAUGUAACCUUGGGAAACCUUGGGAUUGCCAGCCAAAACCCGAGAAGAUGUGUCAAGGUAAAUGCUCUUUAAAAUGCUUCCCCUUCGCCUACAGUUUUGCAUGUCAAUGAUGAGCUUAACCUCUUUCUCAACGAAAUUUAGUUUUACUCAAUGGAAAAUUCUUG